AGUCGCCGCCCCUCCCCCACCAUCUCAUGCCCCCUGGGCCGCUCACCAUCCCGUAUCCUCAGCGUGCCGGCCUCCACCAUCCCCAGCGUGCCAACCUCCAGUUCUUCACCUACCCCAUCGUGACGCUGCCCAAUCUUCUUCCUCCUGGAUUCUCCUAGCCAUGGCGAGUGCCUCCUCCCUGCGCCAAGCUCGCUCCAGACUACGCAGAGCCACCAACCCCCACCGCCUCACGUGCAGUACAACCCCACCCAUGUACGAGGUUCAAAGACCUUGCAGAGAGAAGGAAAUGAUAUGUUAAGGUCAGCAGCUUCCUCGUUGCCAUCCCGGUCGUGGCUUUUCUGUGGCACGCCUCCCACUGCUUCUCCUUGCUGGACUAGUCAACCUACAAGAGAUCAACUCAAACAAAAAGUACUCAAGGUGGACUUAAGCUGAACUGGUGAUGGUCUUAGAAACGGCAUGUUUGAAAGUGGCCAAGGUUCUUGAAAGCUAAAAACUUUGAACCUUGUAAACGACAGCAAGCUUUUUGCCAUUUGUUUCACUUACUAGAGCGCUUUGCUAAUGGGUACGAUAAGUAUAACAUAAGUGAAUGAAAAGAGAGGUCUCGUCCAACUAAUUAGUUUUCUCUGUAUUUUUAGUUCCAUGUACUGUCUGAUCAAUUCUACUGUAGCUCUGAACAGCAGGAGAAAAAUAAAGAAAGUUCAAGUAAAAUCUCAAAUAAAAAUUAUGUUCAAGUUGAAGCCCAGGAGUAUAUACAUAUGGAGCGGACAUGGCAAUCGAUCUUGUUGAUGAUUAUCAAUAAAUAGAUGGUGAAGUUGGCAAACGGCUGAAUCAGAUGGUGCCUACCCCUAAAAAUUAUCAGUUACAAGUAUCUACAUUUUGUCGAAAGUUCUUCGGUAUAGCCCCCUCUCCAUCAAAGUAGAAGAGUGAUCGUCGCAUGUGUUCGUUCAAUAAGGGCUUUGGUGACGGUCCGCUGCUGGUGGCCGCCUCACCGUGGUUAAGUUUGGCGUAGUCGCAUGUGUCGCUUUUUGUUGUGGCCGGUCUCCAGUUCUCAGGUUAGAAAAAGGUUUCACUUCACUUUGCUGAAGUUCAUCUAGAAUCUUGGAAUCCGAUGUGGUCUGUGGCAAGGUACAUCCAAUGACAACGAGCAGGCGGCAAGUGUACUUAUGCGCAGCGGGACGGUGGCAUGGAGCAGUUGAGUAGGUGUGCGUGGUCAUUCACUGCCUCGACACAAGGCCGUUCGACGAUGCAGCGCUCAAGCCGUUCACCCUUACCACCACAAGCUGUUCACCCUUACCACCGCAAGCCGUUCACCUCCGCCACACGAGGCCGUGCGACGACGCAGUGAUCAGACCGUUCACCUCUGCCAUAGGAGGCCGAUGCAAACACUAAGGAGUUGUGUUCUUUUUCAGUACAUGUUUUUGUGCUUUUUAGUACACCUACUUAACGAUUCUAUGUCCAAUUUUCUCUGUUUACAUGUUCUUCCUAUAGCACAAAAGGUGUUGUGUGUUAAGCCUUAAUAAGCAUUUGAGAAAAUCUUGUAUGGAUCUAAACUAGCAUAUGUUCGUUCUAUUCUUGUAAAUGAAGCUCCACUUCUG